AAUGAAAAGGGGGUAGAGCACUGACUGGUCAAGGGGCAUGCAUAUGUUACCGAGACCUAUCAAACUCCGAAUACCAAAUCAUACGCUAGGGAGUCAGACUAUGGGGGAUGAGCUUCAUAGUCGAAAGGGAAAGAGCCCAGACCAUCAGCUAAGGUCCCAAAAUUAUAGUUAAGUGGGAAAGGAUGUGGAGUUACUGAGACAACUAGGAUGUUGGCUUAGAAGCAGCCACUCAUUUAAAGAGUGCGUAAUAGCUCACUAGUCAAGUGACUCUGCGCCGAAGAUAACCGGGGCUAAACUAUAUACCGAAGCUAUGGAACGAAAAACGUUGGUAGAGGAGCAAUGUAUGAAGGAAGAAGCAGAAGUUGAAAAGCACUGUGGACAUCAUACAAGAGAGAAUGCUGGCAUGAGUAGCGAGAGGUGAGUGAGAAUCUCACCCGUCGAAAACCUAAGGAUUCCUGAGCAAGGCUCGUCCACUCAGGGUAAGUCGGGACCUAAGGCGAGGCUGAAAAGCGUAGUCGAUGGACAACAGGUUGAAAAUCCUGUACCGAUACAAUCAGUGAGGAAGUGGGGACGCAGAAGGAUAAUAAGAGCGCCCAGUUGGUGAGGCGUGCAAGCGCAAAGGAUGGGAAGUAGGCAAAUCCGCUUUCCGAGAAGUCUAAAGCGUGAUGCGGAUCGAAAACAAGUAGAGAAGCUUAUAACUCCACACUGCCAAGAAAAGCCACUACAAGAGAAGUAUCGCCCGUACCGCAAACCGACACAGGUAGGUGAGGAGAGAAUCCUAAGACGAGCGGAAAAACCUUUGUUAAGGAACUCGGCAAAAUGACCCCGUAACUUCGGGAGAAGGGGAGCCCCUGUAAAAGGGGGCCGCAGUGAAAAGGCCCAAGCGACUGUUUACCAAAAACACAAGUUUCUGCGAAGUCGAAAGACGAAGUAUAGGAGCUGACACCUGCCCGGUGCUGGAAGGUUAAGGGAAAAAGUUAGCAUAAGCGAAGCUUAGAACUGAAGCCCCAGUAAACGGCGGCCGUAACUAUAACGGUCCUAAGGUAGCGAAAUUCCUUGUCGGGUAAGUUCCGACCCGCACGAAAGGUGUAACGAUUUGGGCACUGUCUCAACAAAGGAUCCGGUGAAAUUGUAGUAGCGGUAAAGAUGCCGCUUACCCACGACAGGACGGAAAGACCCCGUGGAGCUUUACUGUAGGCUGAGAUUGAAUUUUGGGAUUAAACGUACAGAAUAGGUGGGAGACGAAGAAUAAGGUACGCCAGUAUCUUAGGAGUCACCGUUGGGAUACCACUCUUUUAAUGCUAGAAUUCUAACCUAACCCCAUGAAACUGGGGAAGGGACACUCUCAGUUGGACAGUUUGACUGGGGCGGUCGCCUCCGAAAGAGUAACGGAGGCGUUCAAAGGUUCCCUCAGCACGGACGGAAAUCGUGCGAAGAGUAUAAAGGCAGAAGGGAGCUUAACUGCGAGACCAACAAGUCGAGCAGAUGCGAAAGCAGGACUUAGUGAUCCGGUGGUACCGAGUGGAAGGGCCAUCGCUCAACGGAUAAAAGCUACCCCGGGGAUAACAGGCUNAUCUCCCCCAAGAGUCCANAUCGACGGGGAGGUUUGGCACCUCGAUGUCGGCUCGUCUCAUCCUGGGGCUGAAGUAGGUCCCAAGGGUNNGGCUGUUCGCCNNUUAAAGNGGNACGCGAGCUGGGUUCAGAACGUCGUGAGACAGUUCGGUCCCUAUCUGCCGUGGGCGUAGGAAAUUUGAGAGGAGCUGUCCUCUCA
rnacentral:rRNA from 1 species